GAAGUGUGGACGCCAGUCUGCAUGGAGCCGACCUUGAAAUACCACCCUUUAAUGUUUGAUGUUCUAACGUUGACCCGUAAUCCGGGUUGCGGACAGUGUCUGGUGGGUAGUUUGACUGGGGCGGUCUCCUCCUAAAGAGUAACGGAGGAGCACGAAGGUUGGCUAAUCCUGGUCGGACAUCAGGAGGUUAGUGCAAUGGCAUAAGCCAGCUUGACUGCGAGCGUGACGGCGCGAGCAGGUGCGAAAGCAGGUCAUAGUGAUCCGGUGGUUCUGAAUGGAAGGGCCAUCGCUCAACGGAUAAAAGGUACUCCGGGGAUAACAGGCUGAUACCGCCCAAGAGUUCAUAUCGACGGCGGUGUUUGGCACCUCGAUGUCGGCUCAUCACAUCCUGGGGCUGAAGUAGGUCCCAAGGGUAUGGCUGUUCGCCAUUUAAAGUGGUACGCGAGCUGGGUUUAGAACGUCGUGAGACAGUUCGGUCCCUAUCUGCCGUGGGCGCUGGAGAACUGAGGGGGGCUGCUCCUAGUACGAGAGGACCGGAGUGGACGCAUCACUGGUGUUCGGGUUGUCAUGCCAAUGGCACUGCCCGGUAGCUAAAUGCGGAAGAGAUAAGUGCUGAAAGCAUCUAAGCACG
rnacentral:rRNA from 1 species